rnacentral:rRNA from 1 species
UACGUAGGGUGCGAGCGUUAAUCGGAAUUACUGGGCGUAAAGCGUGCGCAGGCGGUUUUGUAAGCCAGGUGUGAAAUCCCCGGGCUCAACCUGGGAAUGGCAUUUGGGACUGCAAGGCUGGAGUGCGGCAGAGGAGACUGGAAUUCCACGUGUAGCAGUGAAAUGCGUAGAGAUGUGGAGGAAUACCGAUGGCGAAGGCAGCCCCCUGGGAUAACACUGACGCUCAUGCACGAAAGCGUGGGGAGCAAACAGG